CUCUGGUUCCGAGGUCUCUCCUGAGGGAAGAAAGUUUCUGAGCAAAACGCUAAAACUUUUAACAGAGAGGAGGGAAAGGUGAUGGCCACAUGAUGGGACCAAGAACAAAGAAAGAGAUGGAGGCCAGGUGACCAGGUUGCCAGGGAAAGAGAACCAAGGACAGAAGAGGGACAAAACGGCCUGGCUGAGCUGCACUGUUGGAAGCAAAGAGUCUGCUGGUUUUGGGACUCAAGGGAAGAGCCCAGGCUCUGAGUUUUGGGUCUCAUGAAGAUGGACUUUGCUGAAUCUUCCUACUUCCUGUGCUAACAAAGAACUUUCCCAGGCUGUAUUCCAGAGCACUAAUAAACCUUCUGUUUUACAACGCUG